AGUCAAUGCUAGAAAUGGACGUUUAGUUAUUGAAUCCCGCUAACGAGGGGAGCCAACAAGAGAGGGAUGUCGGCAUCGGGUGUGCGGUUCCAAGAACUGAUUGGCUGUGGAGAUUAGAAGUUAGGUGAAAAUUCUCUUAAACUCGGGCAAACGAAUUGAUGAUUUUUCCCCUGGUCGGUGUUAGAGACACAGUAAAUGCUUAACCAUCUCGCUAGACAGCUCAACUGAAGUGGCAUUAACUUCCCGGGAAAGUGUGUAGAAAGGCAUUUUUAAAUACUGUAAACUCGAACGUAAAUAUCUUUUAAUGUGGAACUGUUACUACAUUUAACACUGAACAUCUUUUCAACUUUUACAUAGUUCAAGGGUGACACGAUUCAGUUCGUUAUUUCCGUAAUUGGAACGUGUAAUGUUUUUUGGCCCAAGUUGCGUUAUGUGAUUUUGUUUUCUUCUAUAACGACUCUACAGUAAUGGGGUAGAAUGGAAUAUUGUGGGGAAAACAUUUACUGGCUCUUGGAGAACUCUCAAAACCAAUUAGGUUCUUUAAUUCCUCUUUAAAAAAAUAUUUCUCGCCUGGCGCUGUGGCUCACCCCUGUAAUCCCAGCACCUUGGGAGGCCGAGGCGGGCGGAUCACCUGAGGCCAGGAUUUGGAGACCAGCCUGGCCAACAUGGUGAAACCCCGUCUCUAUUAAAAAUACAAAAAAUUAGCUGGGCGUGGUGGCGCUCGCCUAUAAUCCCAGCUACUCCGGAGGCUGAGGCAGGAGAAUCGCUUGAACCCGAGAGGCGGAGUUUGCACUGAGAUCACGCCACUGCACUCCAGCCUGGGCGACAGAGCAAGAUUCCAUCUCAAAAAAAAAAAAAAAAUUAUCCAUACUUUGGAACCUGGAAGCAGCGUGACGAUCACUUUCAUUCUUGUAAUCAUCUGAGUUUGCCUUUGUCCUAGAAAAUUGAGUUCGGAAUCUCCAGACUCCAUACAUAUCUCUUGAUUUCCAGGGGAGAAGGGUUUUAAAUGUUCUUACAAAAUGUCUCUUGUUGCCUGAAUUCCAAACGUUUUGAAAUGUUAGGGCCGGGCGCGGUGGCUCACGCCUGCAAUCCUCUAGCACUUUGGGAGGCCGAGGCGGGCGGAUUGCCUGAACUCAAGAGUUCGAGUCCAGCCUGGCCAACAUAGCGAAACUCCGUCUCUGCUAAAAAUACAAAAAAUUAGCCGGCGUGGUGGCGCCUGUAGUCUCAGCUACUCGGGAGGCUGAGGCAAGAGAAUCGCUUGAACCCGGGAGGCCGAGAUCGCGCCAUUGCACUCCAGCCUGGGCAACAAAAGCAAAAACGCCGUCUCAAAUAAAUAAAUGAAAUAAACUUAGUAAACUAUUUUUAAAUAAUGUUAAAAUUAACGGUGUACGUAGUAGAACUGUGAGAGAUCUCAUCUUGGAAAUAGAGUGAUAUACUUGAAGGCAAGAGAUUGGGUCAGGUACUAUUAACACGUUUUACACAUGAACAAACCGACACUAAGAGGUAAGGUAAUUUGCUUAUGAUUGAGUUCCCAAGUACAAAGCUGAUUUUUGAACUAAAAUCUGACUCGAAAAUCUGCUCUUUUCUUAUCAGGCUGCUUCCUACAAAAAUAUAACCUCGCUUAGCAUCUGCUUGUUAAGCAUCCACCCUCACAGCUCUUUGGCAUUCAAAUGUUUGUUGAGUAGGGGUAAUAGAGCACUACGUUCGAAUCAGAAAAUGCCUUAUUUUUCCUUGCUUGCAAGAGCCUAUUAUAAAUAAAUGCCUUGUUUUCGCUGUGUCUCUUUCUUGUUGUCGAGAGCUCAGGCUGGUCUUAAUUUCUGCAACCAUAGUAUUAUCUCCCAGGUCUCCUUCUGCCCUGUGUAUUUUGCAGUUAUGCUUUAUGUGGAGAUGAAGCAUCCUAAGUGUGGAGAACGAUAUAUGGGGCCCGAACAAUAGGUGCUGAAGCCAGAUUGUGUGACUAAAGUUGGUAUUUGAACAAACCAAGUGUUUAUUUUUUUAAAGAGCAUGGUAAAAACUAAGUUUCAAAAAUCGAUGCUGGCAAAAAUUUCCUUGAAAAAAUUCUCACCAAGUUCACUUGCACGGUACUACCUGGGGAAUGAAACACAUUUGUCAAGGACACGCCCAAAACUAUGUUGCUGUUGUAAUUUUCAAAGACUGGGAACUGCGGCAGGGGGAGUUACAAUUAAAGCAAACAUCGGCGUAUCAGUUUAUUCAUUCAGCAAACGUUUAUGAAGCAACAAACGUAUGCCCAAUAUUUCAGUCUUGCUGCUCUUCCUCCCCAAAUUCAGGAACCUUUGCAACGGAAAGCGGCCUCGGGCAGGCGCCUUUUGAGCAGAGGAGUAAAACCGCCAGAGCGUCUCAUCUCUGGGCCCGGAGCCCCAGGCUCGUUCUCCUCAGCCCCUGCCGGCGGCGGCGCUCUUGCAGCCAUUCCUGUGAGGUCGUUUUUCGGAGCAGCCGGGCCGGCCGAGGAGUAAGUAGGCGCCAGAGUUCUAGCUCGGGCAUCUGCCUCGGGGCCCUGUCGCCGCCGCGCCCCGGAUCCUGCGUUGGUCCUGUCCGAUAAAGCGGAGGUCGGCCCUGCUUGCUGACGAGACCGUAAAAACCACGGCGCUUGGCGCCCUGCCGCCGCCACACCACACCAAAGUGUACCUGCCCGAGGCUGGCUUCGGGCGCGAGCUUGCAUUUGUGACUUUCUCUUACCGUCUUUGUUUGCUUCGUUUUAAGUAUUACUUCCAGAUAAGGGACACAUUCUCGAAAUACUUUGAAAACAGUUUUGAAUUUUGUUCCUCCCGUUGAAACGGAUUAAAUUUGGACCUUUCAAGCUACACUGUGCAAUCAUCAAUCUCAAUAAGCUCUUAAUAGGCUCAUUCUUCCGUAGGCUACAAACAAAAUAAAGAUCAUAACAUCCUGCGGAGGAAGCCAUUGGUCCAUGUAGAGUCGCCAGAUGUCAAUUAAGAGUAGAUCGCUUUUCAGAGAAUACUUAACGACUCUGGUUUAGACCUAGACUUGGAACUUUGAGGUGUUUGGAACACUGGGCAGAAUUUUCCUUUGUUACAAAACAAAGUUUAUGAGAACGUAAUUUGUUUUUGUUGUUUUUGUUGUUAGUAUUGAAGCAAUUUUGGUGCAAACCAAAGGAUAACAAAGCAAAACAAUGAAAAUCACCCAGAGUUCCAUUACCCACACUGAACCAACUUGAAUAUAUUGGUUUAUUUUGGCUUUUUUCCAUAUGAAAUGUUAAAUUUUCUUGUACUCACGUGUAGAAUAUGAUAGUUUGCUCUUUCAUGUAACAUGUCUCCCAAUUUUUACAUACAUAAUUCUAGUUUCAGUAAGCAUUUUUAUAACUACACUCUUUUUCCUUUGUUAUUGUAUGUCUAGGUUAUUUCAACUUUGCACUGUUGCUUGUAACUACUAUGUGAUGAGGCAGUAGCUAGAUUAGUAUUUAGAACGUGAGCAUUCAAGUCAGGCAGACCUGGGCUUCACAACUUACUGUGCAAUUUCAAAGAGUUUAACUUUUUUGAGCCUCAUUUUACACAGUAACAUGGGGAUAAUGGUUCUGAUUGCAUAGAAUUAUUAUGAGAGUAAGAUGAAAUAAUGAGUGGAAGUGCCUGCAGCAUGUAUUGUUAGUAAAUGCUGUAUUACUGCAGGCAAAUUUUUCUUUUGUUGUGGUUUUUUGGUGACAUGUAUGAUUUAUUUCCAGAUUUUGAAUAUACUUAAAUACUAUUAACCACAGUAGGGGUAUGGGGUUUGAUCCACAGCUUUUCAUAUAUUUUAUACAAUAUAUUGUGUGUUUGAUACACAGCUUUUCAUAUACUUUAUUAUAAGUAACACAUGAAUUAGAAAUAAUUUUUCACAAUAGGAAAAACUUUUUAAAAAUUAAAAUUUAUAAUCCUGCUAACCGUAGGUGAAUAGUCACAUUUUGGGCAAUCCUUUUUUAUGCAUAUAUAUGUAGUGGUUUUAUUUUAUUUUAUUUUAUUUUUAUUUUUUGAAACGGAGUCUUGCUCUGUUGCUCAGGCUAGGGUGCAAUGGUGCGACCUCGGCUCACUGCAACCUCCGCCUCACGGGUUCAAGCAAUUCUCCUGCCUCAGCCUCCCGAGUAGCUGGGAUUACAGGCGCCCGCCGCUGCGCCCGGCUAAUUUUUAUAUUUUUAGUAGAGACGGGGUUUCACCAUCUUGGCCAGGCUGGUCUCGAACUCCUGACCUCGUGAUCCACUCGCCUCAGCCUCCCAAAGUGCUGGGAUUACAGGCAUGAGCCACCGUGCUGGGCCUGUAGUGUUUUCUAAAAAUAGAAUUAUAUUAUAAAUUGGGUUUAUCAACUUGCUGAAAAUGGCAGAGGCCAGUGCGAUGAGAGUAGGGUGAUUAAGGGAGUAGGAAGUAAUGCAGGAAAGGGAGUUUGUAGGAUUUAGAUUUCACUGAAAGUGUACUGGACAGGUUGGGCAUAGUGGCUCAGGCCUGUAAUUGUGUCACUUUGGGAGGCUGAAGUGGAAAGAUCCCUUAAGCCCAGGAGUUCGAGCCAGCCUGGGCAACAUAGGGAAACCCUAUCUCUAUAAAAUAAAAAUAAAAAUAAUUAUUUUGAAAAAAAAGUUUACUGGACAGAGUAAGUUCAGGGUUGAGGAGUGACCUGAUUUGUUUUAGAAGGCUCAUUUGGCUGCCAUAUGGAGAUAGACUGCAAGGGACCAGGGGAGGAAGAUGCAAUCCAAUUAGGAGAGUAUUUAAGUAAUCUCUGUGAGAGAUGGUGUUAGUUUCGAUCAGGGUGUAAGUAGGGAAAAAUGAUUGGGUUCUGGAUAUAUUUUGAAGGGAGAAGUUAUAGGAUUCACUGAUUGAUGGGAUGUGGAAUUCAAGAGAAAGUGACUUAAAGAAUUUUGGUUUGGGCAGUUAAACAGAUACAGUUGCUACUUACCAAGAUAGAGACUGAAAGUUGGGGGAAACUAAAUAGAGUUCUGUUUCAGUCAUGUUACCUGUUGUGGAGUCUAACUAGUUGGAACAGGAGUAUGAAAGACUUAAUCUUCUGUUCUUGAGGUAUCAAUUUGUCCCUUCAUUUCUGUCAGUUUUUGCUACAUAUAUUCUGUUACUAGGUGCAUCUAUCCUUGUAAAUUGUUACAUCUUCCUUGUGGGUUUAUCCUUUUAUCAUUAAAAAUGUUUCUCUUUUUCUCUAGUAACAUUGUUUUAAAGUCUAUUUUGUCUGAUAUUAAUGUAGCUAUUUCAGUUCUCACGUGAUUACUAUUUACAUGCUUUGUAUCAUUGACUCUAAAAUGUGUCUCCUGUAGACAUAUAGUUGGAUCUUGGUUUGUUUUUUGUUUGUUUGUUUGUUUUUUGUUUUGAGACAGAGUCUUGCCCUGCCUCCUUGGCUGGAGUACAAUGGCGUGAUCUGGGCUCACUGCAACCUCCACCUCCCGGGUUCAGACGAUUCUCCCACCUCAGCCUCCCCAGUAACUGGGAUUACAGGGGCCCGCCACCACGCCCAGCUAAUUUUUGUAUUUUUAGUAGAGACGGGGUUUCACCAUGUUGGCCAGGCUGGUCUCAAACUCCUGACCUUGUGAUCCACCUGCCUCGGCCUCCCAAAGUGCUGGGACUACAGGCAUGAGCCACUGUGCCUGGCCGGAUCUUGUUUUUUUUAAUCUGAUAAUUUCUGCCUUUUGAUCCAAUUGUUUAAUCAUUCACAUUUAAUGUUAUUGAUAUAGUUGGAUUUAUGUAUGCCAUCUUAUUUUUGUUUUCCUUAUGUCUUGUCUUUUUCUUUUCCUGUCUCUCCUUUACUGCUUUGUUUUGGAUCAAGUGAAUAUCUUCUAAUGUAGCAUUUUAAUUUCUUGAAUGAUUUUUUACACUGUUUUAAGUUUUUUUUAGAGACUGUAGUGGUGCUCUAGGGCUUACCGUACAAUUAGCUUAACUUAUUAGAAUCAGCUUCAGAUUUAUACUAACUCAAUUGCAGUGAGAUAUAGAAACCUUACUCCAAUAUAGUUUUAUUCCAUGUCCCUGUUUUUUUGUGGUUUUGUUGUUGUACAUGUUAUAGUUGUUACAAACUCAACAAUACAUUACUACAAUUAUUACUUUUACAUCAUUUAAAGAAAAUGAACAAAGGAAAGCAAAUAUAUAUUUGUAGCUUUUGUUAUAGUAACCUUAUUUAUCAUUUCAGGUUGUUUGUUUAUUUUUCUUGUGGAUUCAUUACCAUCUGGAGUAAUUUUGUUUUCUUUUUCUUUCUUUUUUUUUUUUUUGGAGGGAUAACAGGGUCUUGCUCUGUUGCCCAGGCUGCUGGAGUGCAGUGUCAUGAAUAUAUCUCACUGUAGCGUCAAACUCCUGGACUCAAAGUGAUCCUUCCACCUCAACCUCCUGAGUAGCUGGGACUACAGGCACAUGCCACCAGGCAUGGCUAAUAUUUGUAUUUUCUGCACCUCAGCCUUCUGAGUAACUAUAUUACUCUAUAAGCACACAUCACCACACCCAGCUAAUUUUUAAAUUUUUUAUAGAGACAGAGUCUCACUGUGUUGCUCAGGCUGGUCUCUAACUCCUGGCCUCAAGUGAUCCUCCAGCUCUGGCCUCCCAAAAGUGCUGGGAUUACAGGCAUGAGUUCUUUGUAUGAGUUCCUUGUAUAUUUUGGAUAUUAACCCCUUGUUAGAUAAAAGGUUUUUCAGUAUUUUCUCCCAUUCCGUGGACUGCCUUUUCAUUUUGUUGUUUCCUUUGCUGUGCAGAAGCUUUUUUGUUUGGUUUAGUUCCAUUUGCUUAUUUUUGCUUUUGUUGCCUGUGCUUUUGGUGUCAUUUACAAAACAAACAAACAAAAUUAUUGCCAAGACUAAUGUCAUGGAGCUUUUCCACUGUUUUCUUCUAGUUUUACAGUUUCAUGUCUUACACUUAAGUCUUUUCACUUUUUUUUUUUUUUGAGACAGAGUCUCCCUCUGUUGCCCAGGCUGGAGUGCAGUGGUGUAUGAUCUUGACUCACUGCAACCUCCACCUCCUGGGUUCAAGUGAUUCUCCUGCCUCAGCCUCCCGAGUAGGUGGGAUUAUAGGCAUGUGCCACUGUGCCCGGUUUAUUUUUGUAUUUUUAAUAGAAAUGGGGUUUCACCAGGCUGGUCUUGAACUCCUGACCUCAAGUGAUCCACCCGCCUCAGCCUCUCAAGGGACUAGGAUUACAGGCAAGAGCCACUGCGCCUGGCCUCUUUUAACCAUUUUGAAUUGACUUUUGUGGAUGGGGUAAGAUAAGGGUCCAAUUUCAUUUCUUGGCAUGUGGUUAUCUAGCUUUUUCAACACCAUUUAUUAAAGAGACUAUCCUUUCUUUAUUGUGUACUUUUGACACCUUUGUUGAUGAUUAGUUGGCCACAUAAACGAGGAUUUAUUUCUGGGAUUCCUAUUCUGUUCCAUUGGUCUAUAUGUCUCCUUUUAUGCCAGUACCAUACAGUUUUGAUUACUGUAGGUCUGUAAUAUAAUUUGAAAUGAAGUGUGAUGCCACCAGCUUUGUUCUUCUUGCUCAGGAUCAUUUUAGAUAUUCUGGGUCUUUUGGGUUCUGUAUGGAUGUUAGGAAUUUUUUUUUUUUUUCUGUGAAAAAUGUCAUUGGAGUUUUGCUAGAGAUUGCGUUGAAUCUGUAGACUACUUUGUGUAUUGCAGACAUUUUGACAAUAAUGAUUCUUCUGAUCCUGAACAUGGGAUAGCUUUCCAUUUAUUUGUGUCAUCUCCAGUUCUUUCAUAUAUGUAUUAUAGCUUUUAGCAUACACAUCUUUCCCCUCCUUGGUAAAACUUAUUCCUAAGUAUUUUAUUCCUUUUGAUGCUAUUGUAAAUGGGAUUGCUUUCUUAAUUUCUUUCUUGGAUACUUCACUGUUAGUGAAGUGUAAUUGAUUUUUGUAUGUUGAUUUUGUAUCCUGAAACUUUACUGGAUUCGUUUAUUCAUUCUAACAGUUUUUAGUGGCGUAUUUAGGGUUUUCUGUAUAUAGGAUGAUGUCACCUGCAGAGACAAUUUUACUUCUUCCUUUCUGAUUUGGAUGCCUUUUAUUUCUUUUCCUUGCCUAAUUUCUGUGGCUAGGAUUUCUAGUACUAUGUUGAAUGUAAGUGAUAAGUGUGGGCAUCCUUGUCUGUCCUUGUCACAUUCAGUUGUAUGUGCAAUACUGGAACCAUCCAGCUCAUAGUCACGUAAUUCCUCUUUGUGCAGCCUCAUGUAAAAUCACACCCCUAUUCACAUUUUUUUCUGUCUGUCUCCCACCUCUCCAGGUCCCUGCCCUGCAACUUUCAGUUACUUCAGACUCUCAGAAGACUAGCCUCUAAAUACCUCAAUUUAUCUGCACUACUGUGGUCUACUUGAAAUUCUCUUCCCUCUUCUGCAGUUUGUAAUGGCAUUCAGGCCAAAAACUGUAGUAGUUUUAGGGCUCUCUUCAUUUGCUUCUCUGCUCCUAGGGAUCAUAGUGCUGUGCUAUCUGUUGUCCAGCAUCUGACACAGUUGGUUUUAUAUUUUGUCUGGUUUUCUAGUUAUUAAGCAGGUUAAGUCUGGUUCCUGCUGUUCUAUAUAGCAGGAAGCAAAGGUUCUCUCAUGAAUUUUUAGCAUAAUAACAUAAGCGUGGAUUCCAAAAAUUCAUUACACAGAUCCUGGAAAUCUGUUUACUAUGUUUUAUACAUUCUGUGAAAGCUGGAGAAUAUAUAUUUGUUUUACUAUGUGUAUCGCAAAUAAAAUAUCAAUUUCAUGUGCCAGAGAAUUGAAUACAUUAUCAAAGGGUCAUUUCAUAACGUUAUAAUCACCAUCCAUCCUGUAAGUCCUUUGAAAUUUCUUCUUUUCUAUGGAUCUAACAUUGAUCAAUAACGAAUUCCUAAGCAUCUAUAUUAGUUAGCCCAGUGUUUCUCAAAGUCCACCGCAUGUAAAAAUCAUCUAGGGAAUCUUUCUAAAAUGUGGAUUCUGAUUUAGUAGGUCUGGGGUGAGGUCUUCCCUUUUGCAAUUCCAGCAAGUUCCCAUGGGAUGCUGGUACUGGUUAAUGGAAGUCACUUAGAGUAGCAAGGAGCCUGUUUGCCUAGUAUUUACAAUGAGCACGUUUUGGGUAUCAUCAAAACAAGAGAAUCUAAAAAUGUAUGGUGUGGGUGGAAGGUUGUGUUACUUGAUAUUUCAAAAAGAUCAUUGAAAUCAGAAAAUCUCAGAGAUAUGUUGGAUUUCAUCACAUUUAUUCUAUGGCUUAAUGUUGUUUUAUUUUGAAUAUAUAAUAAGAGAGAUACCACAAAUCUUUAGCUAUUAAUAUUUAGGGAUGUUAAUGUCCUUAAUUCAUAUUGUCUCAAAUGUGAUUCAUUCCCUCUAUAGGUAUACUAAAACAGGCAUUCAUGCCUACAAAACCAUCUUCCUAACUUUCUUUCCUCUUUUUAGUCUCUUCCUGAACCAGUGACAGUGGUUCUCAAACAUUUUGGUCUGAGGACCCCUUUAUGGCCUUAAAAAUGAUCGAAGAGCUUUUAUUUAUGAAGGUAAUACCUGCUAAUACUUGUUGUAAUCUAUUAACAUUGAGAAAUGUAAAAAUUUUUAUUAAUUCACUUAAAAUAUCAAUAAACCCAUUAUUUGCUAAUAUAAAUUGCACUUUUUAAUGAAAAAUAACUUUAGUUUCUACUGUGUGCUUCUGCAUUUUGAAAAUAUGUCUAGGAUACGGUAUGUAUUUAGGAGAUAUUUUCUAAAUAAAUGCAUAUUCAUUUUUUAAAAUGGGACAAAUGUAGCAUAGACAUAUUUUUGCUAACAAUAUCCAUAUAGUUGCAAAUUUCACUUUUAGAAUUUGCUUUCAAAAACAGGUUGUUUAUUCUUCUUUGUUAUGCCUUAGUUAGUAAAUCAUAUAUUAUAAAACUUCUUCAAUGCAAUUGGUCUUUGGUCAGCCAUUGACAUAGGAAGAGUUAGAAAGAGUCCAGGGCUCCUUGGUACUGGCUGUGACUGGAUAAGUAGGUUGUGGCUUAGUUUGUGUUUAGGUGUCAUAACUAGGCUAGGUUUGGGUCCCAGAAAGUGCUAGCCUUACUGUAGGAGAGGAAGUGGUAUUGCUGGGUGUGUCCUCAGGUCAGGAAGUGGGACGAGUGCAGUAUGGAAGCCCAGGGGGGUCCUUGUGACUGGAGGAAAGGUGAGGUUUCCAGUAAAGGAUUCAGAAUUCGGGCAUGGUGCAGCAUGCCUAUAGCCCCAGCUACUCAGGAGGCUGAAGUGGGAGGAUCACUUGAGACCAGGAGUUCAAGGUUGCAGUGAGCUGUCAUUGCGCCACUGCACCCCAGCCUGGGUGACAGAGUGAGACCUGUCUCAAAAAUAAAUACAUAAAAAUAAUAAUUAAAAAAAAAGGAUUCAGAAUUCUAGAAUACAUAUUAUCUUUCUAUCAUGCAGAUCUGUUCUUAGGAUUGUAUUUUCCAAAUCAUGAAUAAAAUAAUUUCCAAAAUACUUAUUGGGAAAUUAUAUAUAUGUACUGUAUUACUUGGAAUAAAAAUCAAAUAAAAGUCAAACUUCUUAAUGUGGCUGUAAAGCCUUGAUUAUUUAAACCUUGCCUAUUUUUCAGUUUAAUCUUUCAGCCACACUGGCCCUUGUGUUAAUCCUAAAACAUGCCAUGCUUUUUCCUACAUUAAAGCUUAGGGUUUUUGAUAUUUCUACUGCCUGGAUUUCUCUGUUCUCACUCUUCCUCUUGAUCACCAUGACUUAUUUUUCAAGUGUUGGCUUAAAUGUCCGUCUCACAGAUAGCCCUUAUCUAAAUAACAGCUUUCCCUCUGGUUCCUAGAUAAAUUAGGACCUGUUUUUUUCUAUAACUUUCUUAAAGUAUCCUAUUAUUUUCCCUGAUAAAACCUUGUUGGACUGUUUGUCAGUAUAUUUAUUUGCCUGUUUGUUUGGUGUCAGUUUCUCUUUUUUUCCUGUGUGUUUUGUUUGUUUGUUUUUUUGAGACGCAGUUUCACUCUGUCACCAGGCUGGAGUGCAAUGGUGCAAUCUCGGCUCACCACAACCUCCACCUCCCAGGUUCAAGCAAUUCUUCUGCCUCAGCCUCCCGAGUAGCUGGGAUUACAGGCAUGUGCCACCAUCCUGGCUAAUUUUGUAUUUUUAGUAGAGACAGGGUUUUUCCAUGUUGGUCAGGCUGGUCGCAAACUCCCGACCUCAGGUGAUCCGCCUGUCUUGGCCUCCCAAGGUGCUGAGAUUACAGGCGUGAACCACCGCACCCGGCCUGUUUGUUUGUUUUCUUAUUAGACUAUAAACUAUAUGAGAUCAGACCAUGUCUCUUUUGUUUAUCACUCUGGCCUACCUGCUAACACAGUGCUUACACAUAAUAGUAGGUGCUCAAGAAAUACAGUGUUUGAUGGAUGAACGUAAAAUUGUAAGAGCCUGAACUAGUGUAAUAUCGAAAAUAGGGAGGAAGACAUGAAUUAGGAAAGCCUUUGAAAAAUUAGCAUGUUCUGUGAUAAAGCUACAUCUAGGCAAUAUUUUUUGAUACUUUUAAAAAAAAAACUGUAAUAGCUACCCAAUAUUUAGGAAUGAUACACAUCACACAUCUCAGUGAGGUAUGUAGCCUUUUGUACUGGUGAAGAGAGCCAGGUGAAGUCUAACUCUAAGGAUCUAAACACUCCAUUCUAGUAGAGAGCCUGGAGAAGUGCUCUUGCAUAAGCUCAUCCAUGUAAGACCAUCCAUAACUUAGUGAAAUAAUUUUCAUUGCUGUUUAGUUGCAAAAAUCACUCACUGUUUUGCCUCCAUAAGAUUAUCGGUUUUAGUGUUUAAUCGUUCACAGCCUUGUCAAAACCAAAAUGGCUAGGGAGAGAACUAUUUCCCUACAUUAAAACUUCGAGCAAUGCUCUUCAUAGAUUUUGUUUUGAAUUGUUUAGGCCCAUCUCAGAGUUCAAGACACUUAGUCUCUUCUAAGAGAAAUCAUGGUCACAACAAACAGAGAUUAAAUAAAGAGCAAGAAAUUAGAAGAAACUCAAACCAUUCACUUAGAUUAUUUGUUAGAUUUUGGCCUUAAAAAGAGACAAAGUUGCUUGAAACAAGUGAUUAAACUGACAUUUUUAGAUUAUUAUUUUAUUCAUACCUUUAUUGUGAAUAAAUUGGCCACAUGAUAACAUUUUAUAAUGUUAAAUAAAUAUGAUAUAUAUAAAUCUGUAUACCACAACAAUUAAAUUGGAGGGCGAUUUGCCAUUUAAAUAAUUUAUCAUAGGAUUUUUAUAAGAUCAAGCGCUUAGUGCAUAUCAAAGAGACAGAAAGUUUUCAUUGCAGUUCUGCACGUUCACUGAGUACCUUUUAUGUACCAGUUGCAUUGUUCUAGAAUCUUAUCUAUCAUGUAAAGCUAGGUACACCUGAAAUAGUUUAGUUAUGGUGGCAAAGUUAGACUGCAGUUAUUGGCUGGGAAUUUUUUGUAUAUCUAUGUACAUCUUCCAUAAGAGGGCAGCAAAGGACCAGCAUGAUUUUUUCCUUAUCAUGAAGUCAUAGCAGAGAUUGCCUCAUAUUGCAAACUUAAUAGAAAUCUUCUCAGAGUAAGGGCAAACAGAGGGCAUGGUUACAAGUUUACUUACUGUCUAGCCUGUCUUUUAUAUGGUCUGAUAUGGCUUUUUAGUACAUAGAUUAUCUCACAUCACAGUGAUAGCCUAGUGAUUAAAUGUUGAUCCUGGGGUCAGUUGUCAGGCUUUAAAUCCUGGAACCAUAACUUAACUAGCUUCGUGGUCUAGAAAGACUACUCAGUCUUUCUGAGCCUCAGUUUCUUCCUCAAUUUUUUAUAAAAAGGAGGGCAAGGGAUAGUAACAAUGCCACUUCACAUGGUUUUAAUAAACAAAAUAAAAUUUGUGUCCUGAAGAGGCUAAGAACAGUUAAAAGGUGGAGCUAGAAAAACCACCCUAUACUAGCCUUAGGUGUAUUGUAUUUAUUUAAGUUAAACUCUUAUUAAAAAGAGUCUCAUAAAGGAAAAUAUAGGUCAUUACUUUCUGUAACUACUUAGUAUUUUUAGUUAACUAACAUAUAUAUCUAUGUACUGACCAAUUAUUUGCUCGUACAAUUUAUCAAACCAAUUAAAUAUACACUGUUAAAUUUAUUUCCCUGUCCCCCGAGACAGAUCCUGGCUACGUUGCCCAGGCUGGAGUGCAGUGGCGCGAUUUUGGCUCACUGCAACCUCUGCCUCCCAGGUUCAGGCAAUUCUCCUGCCUCAGCCUCCUGAGUAGCUGGGAUUACAGAGGCCUGCCACCAUGCCUGGCUAAUUUUUGUAUUUUUAGUAGAGAUGGGAUUUCACCAUGUUGGCCAGGGUGGUCUCAAACUCCUGACCUCAGGUGAUCCAGCCGCCUCGGCCUCCCAGAGUGUUGGGAUUACAAGCAUGAGCCAGCACGCCUGGCCUGAAAAUACAUUUUGAUGAACAAAAAAUUUUUAAUUUUUUUUUUUUUUUUUUUCCUGAGACAGAGCUUUGCUCUGUCACCCAGGCUGGAGUGCAAUGGCGUGAUCUUGCCUCACUGCAACCUAUGCCUCCUGGGUUCAAGCAAUUCUCCUGCCUCAGCCUCCCGAGUAGCUAGGAUUACAGGCAUGGGCCACCAUGCCCGGCUAAUUUUUUGUAUUUUUAGUAGAGACGGGAUUUCACCAUGUUUGCCAGGCUGGUCUCAAACUCCUGACCUUGUGAUCCGCCCCCGUGGCCUCCCAAAGUGCUGAGAUUGCGGGCGUGAGCCACCACUCCCAGCCAAAAAUUUUUUAAUUUUAAAAGUCAAUGUAUAUCAUUUGUAUUUUAUAGUUAGUGCUUUUUUUGUAUUGUUUAAAUUUUUAAAAUUCUUCCAUUAAUCUAAAAUAUUUUCAUGUGUGCUUUCUACUAAGAGAAUUUAAGUUUUGUUUUUGACAUUAUAGUUUUUAAUACAUUUGGAUUUGGAUCUUAUAUCUUGUAUGAUACAGAACUCUAAUUUUCGCCUUUAACUACAUGCAUAAUCAUUUUUUCCACCUCCACUUAUUGAAUAGUUCCUAAUUUUCCCAUCAAUAUCAUGUGUUUCUUCUGGCAUAGCCAAAGUCCCAUAAAUGUGUGGGUCUGUUGUAGUUUCCUAUUUAAUUCAGUUAAUUUGUCCAAUUUGUUUUAUUAUGCCUUAAUUACCACAGCUUCACAGUAAGUCUUUAUGUCUGAUAGGGCAGCUUCCUCUAGUGUCUUCAGAAAUUUCCUGACUUUAAAAAAAAUCCUUAUUGUUCAUGCUUUUUUAAAGAAUUAGCUUUACAUGAUGCAAGAAAAAGAUCUGUUGGAAUUUUGAUUGUAAUUUUGUUAAAUCUAUAGGUCAACUAAUUACAAUAUUGAAUCUUCUUAUGCACAAACAUGGUAUAUUUCUCCAUUUAUUCAGGUCUUUAUUUAAUGUCUCCUAAUGUCUUUUUGUAGUUUUUACUUAGAGAUCUUACAUAUUUGUUAUUAUAUUUACUCCUAGGUACUUGGUAUUCUCUAAGAUUAUUGAAAAUGCUGUCUUCUUUUUAAUUACAUUUUCAGGUAUUUGUCAUUGGUAUAAAGAAAUGUAUUUGACAAUAAUCUUAUAUUCACCUUAAAUUCUCUUAUUUCUAAUAAAUUGUACUUUUUUUGGUUUUCUACAAAAAUGAUCAUAUCUAAAAAUAAAGUUAGAUUUGUUUAUUCUUCUGCAUCAUUUUGAAUUCAGUUUAUUAUUUCAUGUGCUAUUAGAACCUUUAAUUUAGUAUUAUUUAUUUUUUGAUUUGUAAAUCGGAAUGCUUUUAUUAUCUUUUCAUUUAGGAUGAUGUUUACUGUAGGUUACUUAGAUACGCUCUAUGGAAAUCUCUUUUAUUUUUUCUAAGACCUUUUAUUAUGAAUUUAAUGUUGAAUUUUAUCAAAUGCUUUCUCUGCAUUUAUUAGAAUAAUUAUGAUUUUUCUCUAUCUGUUAUUAUAAUGGGUCAGAUUUAUAGAUUUUUCUCAUACUAAGCCUAUCCUUGUAUUCCUUGGAUAAAUCUAACUUGGUAAUGUUUACUUUUUUCAUAACUUUUAGCUAUUAAGUAGAUACCAAAUUUUCUUUCAAGGUCAAGUUUGAUAGUUAUAAAAAACUAGUGAUACUAAGUCAUAGAAAAUAUACUUUAAAAAACUAGUGAUACUAAGUCAUAGAAAAUAUACUUUAUUUUAUAAAAAGACUUUAACUGUAAAAAGUAAAAAAAAAAAAAAAAAAAAAAAAAAAAAAAAAAAAAACCUGGCCGGGUGCGCUGGCUCACCCCUGUAAUCCCAGCACUUUGGGAGGCCGAGGCAGGCAGAUCACGAGGUCAGGGGAUCGAGACCAUCCUGGCUAACACGGCGAAACCCCGUCUUUACUAAAAAUACAAAAAAUCAGCCGGGCGUGGUGGUGGGCGCCCGUAUUCCCAGCUACUCGGGAGGCUGAGGCAGGGGAAUGGCGUGAACCCUGGGGGGGCGGAGCUUGCAGUGAGCCAAGAUUGCGCCACUGCACUCCAGCCUGGGAGACAGAGCAAGACUCUGCCUCAAAAAAAAAAAAAAAAAAAACCCCUAGAAUUUUAAUUACUGCCUUUACUUUUAAUUCAGUGGUUUUUAGUAUAUUCACAGAGUUGUGUAACAAUCACCAUGAUCAAUUUUAGCAUAUUUUUAUUACUUCAAAAAGCAACUCUGGACUCAUGAGCAGUCAUUCACUCCCCAUCUGCUCCCAACCCCUUUGUUCCCAUCCGCCCACCCAGCCCUAGGCAGCCACUAAUCUACUUUCUGUCUCUACAGAUUUGCCUGUUCUGGACCUUUCAUAUAAAUGCAAUCAGGCAAAAGAAAGGAGAUUUCAGUGCUCAGUGUUGCCAGGUAUCUCUGCCUCCAGUUUUGCACCUUCCUGGAAAGCUCAUUUUGUUCAGAUUGUCUGCCUGCCUCUAUCUAUCCUGCCUUCAGUGGAUGGCAGAGAUUUCAUCUCUUUUGUUUGCACAGCCUUGAAAGGUGCUUGAUACAGAGAUGCUUGGUAAAUACUUGCAGAAUAAAUUAUAAAAGUAACACAUACUCAUAAAAAUUUUAAAGUAAAAAUAUGUAUAGUAAUAAACACUUGGUGCUUAUUACAUAUCAUCCAGUGGGAUAAAUGCUUGUAAGUAUAGUCAGCCUUCUGUUUCCCUGGGUUCCAGAUUUGUGGAUUCAACCAACUGUGGCUCUAAAAUAUCUGGGGGGAAAAUGGCAUCUGUACUGAACAUGUACAUACUUCUUUUCUUGUCAUUCCUUAAACAAUACAGUAUAACUAUUUACAUAGCAUUUAUACUGUAUUAGGUAUUAUAAGUAAUCUAGAGAUUAUUUAAAAUAUACUGGAGGAUGUGCAUAGGUUAUAUGCACAUACUAUGCCAUUUUAUAUCAGAGAUUUGAGCAUCCAAGGAUUUGGGUAUCUGCAAAUUUUGGUAUUCUUGGGAGGUCCUGGAACCAAUCUCUUACAGAUACCAAAGGAUGGCUGUAUUCUCCAUUCCUUUUCACCAGCUGAGAUCGUACUGUUAUCUGCACUUAACAGAUUAAGAAAUAGGUGUGAUGAGUAAUUUGUUUAAAUUCUGUGGUUGAUUGUGUUACUUUUCGACUGUAUUCUGUGCUCUUCCCUACAGGAGGAUUAUUCAUUCCUGUUUACUUGAAUUCAGGCAACAUCAUGUAACUUGAUUUAAGGAACCGAUACAUGAGUGGAAAUUCUGUGUGGCAUUUCUGAGCAGAAGUUUUAUGAGGCAGCACAUGCUCACUGUGUUACCUGUUCCUUCUGCCAUGAGACUGGCAGAUGGACAUUCUCUAUCAGCCAGGAUAUCAGAAUGAAGAAAUGUAGAACAUAGACCAAAACACCAAUGAGAAAUAAGCGUUUGUUGUUUUAGGGAAAGUGUGUUACCACAGCAUAAUUUAACCUAUCCCAAGUGAAUACAUAUUCAUGGAGUUAAUAUCUAUACCUGAAAAUUGAAACUCAGGUUGUCUACAUCUAACUAUGCCUCUGUCUUUUCCAAAGGUAUAAAGUAGGAGAAACUUCCCCAUGAUCCUACUCUUCCAGUGUUAACUACAGUUAAAAUUUAGUGUAAAAUUGUUUAAUACUUUUUCCUAUGUGUAUGUCAAUGUUCAUUUUUUUAAAACUGGGACCACUUUAUAUGACACAUACUAUUUUAGAGCUUCCUUUUCCUACUUAGUAAUAUAAAAUGGACCACUGUCACAGGUUAGGUUUUCCAUAAACAGACACUGAGUUUGGAAUAUAAGAUUAUUUUCAGGGAUCAUCACCUUUAAAAGGAGAAGUGAAGAAGUAGGAUUGGGGAGAGCAAGAAGUAGAGCUGUGAUGCUGGCCCACAGAUGUCUCUCUGGGGUUCGUAUUGUUUGUCAGAGUUAUCCCAUAUCUUGUAGAAGUGGCCAUGCUUUUCAACCCACUCCUUACUCAGUGGCCUGAUGUGGGCUGCCCUGAGCAAGGUAGCUUUCUGCAGCUGAAGCAGACACUGAAGUUGCUGGCAGCUAACUCCAUCUUUGCAGCUGGGCAGCAAAUCCUUUCUUGAAGUGGGAUCUGGACAUUUAUAUUUGUCUAGCACAGUUCAUUUUUUGCAUCACUUGGAAACCCUUCUCUGUUUUCAUUCCUUUUGUUCUUAAUGUAUAUUCUCAAGCCUCUUGUCUACAAUCACUAGAUAAGUUUGUUGUAAACUGUCUUAACUAUAAAAUGAAGAAGGUAUAGGUAACUAUAAUAUGAAGAAUGCAUUGGAAGUGUAAAUUUUAAAGGAGUUUGCUGAUUAAUAACUCUUUUGUUGUAACUUUUGUUCAAUGAUGUUUGACAAAUACUUUUUUUUUUUUUAAUUUGAGGCAGAGUCUCACUCUGUUGCCCAAACUGGAAUGCAGUGGCAUGAUCUCAGCUCACUGCAACCUCCGCCUGUUGGGCUCAGAGAUCUUCCCGCCCCAGCCUCCCGAGGAGCUGGAACUACAGCCUUGUGCCACCACACCCAGCAAAUUUUUGUAUUUUAUUGCAGAGAUGGCAUUUCACCAUGUUGCCCAGGCUGGUCUUGAACUACUGGACUUAAGCAAUCCGCCCACCUGGGCCUCCCAAAGUGCUGAGAUUACAGGCAUGAGCCACCGCGCCUGGCUGACAAAUACUUUUUAAAAAUAUCCAAGUUUCUGGAUUUUAUUCACCUCUACAAAAAUGAUUUAAGUCCUGUAGAAACAUGUGCCCACAAAUGACACAGUAAUCUCCAGCAAUGUGUUCAACAGCACGUUGAGCAUAAUUGAGCAUAACAGACAUUUUUAAAUUUGUUGUCUCAAAUUCCAUUUAGAUUUGGCUAUUGAUGCAAAAUUAGGGAGGUCAUUUUUCACUAGAUUACUUUCAAUGCUGGAAUCCAUACUUAAAAAAAAAAAAAGAAGAAACUAGAUUUAGUAUAUCUUUCUUUGCCACUUCAGGCUUCCAAAGGAGAAAAAUUCAUGGAUAAGUCAUUAACUGUUACAAAUGCAUUAUGUCUUCAGUUGUGAUGGUUAUGAUAAAACAUGUUUAUUUUAUAUUUGUAAUUUAGUAAAAUUAGUUGAUUCAAGGAGCUCUAUCAUAAAUGGGAAGUAAUAAAAUGAUAAUAAUUAAAGCA